UGGGCGGGGCUCGUGGCCAUCUUCAUUGCUGCUGCGGGUUGGCCUGCCUUUUUUGUUUGUUUUGGAGUUUUUUGUUGUUGUUUUGUUUUUCGAGAUAGGGUUUCCCUGUGACUUUGGAGGCUGGUCUCGAACUCACAGAGAUCCGCCUGCCUCUGCCUCCCAAGUGCCACCACCGCCCGGCUUUGGCCUGUCUUAGCCAAAUUAAAGGCAGCAUUUCCAGAAAGGCUUGUGAACAAAGACUGUUGGAUCACAUCAGAUUCUAGCUCAUCAGGACCCGUUCCUCAACCUCACUCCCUUGCCAGCACAAAUAACCGGUCCGGGACGAAAGCAAACGCGGCGGUGCUGCGCAAGCAGCCGCCACGCUCCGGAAGGAGUCUGCCUGGAGCCCCAGCACCGGAAGUAGGAAGGCGCGCAGCAUCCUGGGAAAAGUUGACCCAGCGCCUUGGCUGUUACCAAGGCAACCGGAGGCGAGCCGGAAAGGCUCAGAGCUCUCCCGCGGCCGGUGGCUUCUCGCAGUCUAUUUUGCCUCUUUUUUCAGAAUAUAAAUUGAGAAUUUUAAAGUUACAUAACAAUUUGUUCUAGUGUAAAUGUAAAUUAUUCAUUUUCCAGUUGUGCAAAUUAAAAAUGAACUCGUUAUCAAGGUACCCAGAGGCAAAUUAAAAUUUUCAUGUGUUACCUAUCAGUUUUUUUUUCCUCUGUAGAAACAUUUUUUAAUAAAUAUUUUAUUUAUUAUGUAUACACUCUUCUGCCUGCAGAGGGCACCAGAUUUCAUUACAGAUGGUUGUGAGCCACCACGUGGUUGCUGGGAAUUGAACUCAGGACCUCUGGAAAAACAGUCAGUGCUCUUAACUGCUGAGCCAUCUCUCCAGCCCCAAUAGCAACAUUUUUGCAUAGUCAGGUUGGUUUGGGGAAAACUGCUUUGUAUCUUGCUGCCUUCAUAUGAGUGUGUGAAUAAUGUAAUUCUAAUAUUAAAAUCUUCGGGACGAGAA